CACGUAGGGCGCAAGCGUUGUCCGGAAUUAUUGGGCGUAAAGAGCUCGUAGGCGGUCUGUUACGUCUGCUGUGAAAACCCUGGGCUUAACCCUGGGCUUGCAGUGGAUACGGGCAGACUAGAGGCAGGUAGGGGAGAAUGGAAUUCCCGGUGUAGCGGUGAAAUUCGCAGAUAUCGGGAGGAACACCGGUGGCGAAGGCGGUUCUCUGGGCCUUACCUGACGCUGAGGAGCGAAAGCGUGGGGAGCGAACAGG
rnacentral:rRNA from 1 species